rfam:Heterocephalus glaber contig169381, whole genome shotgun sequence.
UGGGGUGUAGCUCAGUGGGAGAGCACUUGCCUACCAUGUGUGAGUCCCUGGGUUUGAUCCCUAGCACUGCAA